rnacentral:rRNA from 1 species
GUGCAGCAGUCGCGAAACCUCCGCAAUGCGGGAAACCGUGACGGGGUCACCCGAGUGCCUCCCGAUAAGGGAGGCUUUCCCCGCUGUAAACAGGCGGGAGAAUAAGCGGGGGCAAGUCUGGUGUCAGCCGCCGCGGUAAUACCAGCCCCGCGAGUGGUCGGGACGGUUAUUGGGCCUAAAGCGCCCGUAGCCGGCCCGGCAAGUCCCCGCGUAAAGCCCCGGGCUUAACCCGGGGAAUUGCGGGGAUACUACCGGGCUAGGGGGCGGGAGAGGCCGAGGGUACUCCCGGGGUAGGGGCGAAAUCCUGUAAUCCCCGGGAGGACCACCAGUGGCGAAGGCGCUCGGCUGGAACGCGCCCGACGGUGAGGGGCGAAAGCCGGGGAGGCAAACCGGAUUAGAUACCCGGGUAGU